CAUGGCAGAGCAAUUUCUGGACGGGGUCCAGAAUAAAAUCUUCCACAAGUUCUUAUUGGGAACAGGAAAUAAGAAUGGAAAAAUGCUGUAGAAGGCCAAUGACAUAGGAUAAACACACAGAAACCGUAUAUCAUACCGCCGACUAUCCGAGUCCAAGUGAAUGAUGAUGGCUGAAGGCGUGACGCAGAUUCUGUGGUCCUAAGAAUAUACGAGUGAAGAAAUGCAGCGGAGAGAGGCCGAGACUGCUGCUGCGUUAGCCGAGCAAGAGGAUAUGGCCGGCGGGGACCAUCCAGAUUCUGAGCUGCUGAGAGCAAACAAUGACUGAUGGUGCCGUUGCUCAAACUGCCCUCCAGUACCAACAGAAACUGAAUCAUUCUGCUGCAAUGAAUUUUAGCGUGGUCAGCUUUUGUUGGAUGCUGUCACCAGCGCCAACCCUGAGACGGCCCGUGUGUGAGUUACAAACUCCGCACAAAAGAUUUACUCCUCACGUGGACAGAGGUGUGCUGGAUACUUUCUUCAGGAUCCUGAAGAUAAACUGGAAAAGACAACCAAGACCAGCAGGGCUGCAAGGGCAGAUGACUAUUGGACGACAUCAUCUGGCUGCUUAUGGGUUUUAUUUUUAUUUAUUUAUCGUUGAGUGGGUGCUACAUGGGGGAGAAACUUGGCAAAGGGAACCACAUCGUCUUGCCUGCCUGUGUCGCACAUGGCGUCAGAGCCAAAUAUCCUUCCCACAAUGGUCAGUACG